ACCACGUGACUCCAUCAGUGAUGCAAUUUGGAUGAUUUCAUGCAAUGCAACACUACUUUGUGCAGAUCAUCAGCGCCUCAGCAAUGUGAGUAUUUAGUUCAUAUUAAGGCUGCUCUCGGGUAUUUCGGUGGAAGUUGAAAACCCCAUACUCAGGGAGUUGUCAAACUUUCAGUCCUUAGUGAAACAGUGCAGCCCUGGUCAGACUAAAAACCUUGGAAACUGGACUAUUGAUUUGGUAGGUUGUAAGAGACGACAGUUGGGACAGGAUUUCAUACUGUUUUCCAGCUUCCUAUCUUGGAGUGGUGUGAGGUUAAUAUUUAAUUUUCAGAACUACUGUUUCCUGAGGACAAAGUAAUUUUGUCUUUCAGGAUUAUCCAUCAGGAGUUCCUUGUGAUCCCAGUAUUCCCGAAGAAUCUGUCAACACUGGUGCUGACUUUCUUACUAUACCACAGGCCUGUGAUAGAGGCACCUUAUAGAACACCCUCGAGAUUUCUGCCCUGCUGUGGGAAAGAUCAGAGCACGGUGGUAAACUAUGCUUGCGCGAAUCCCUGAUACAGAGGUGAAAGCAGCAGGUUCGACGAUGCUCCAGCAUGGACUGAGCUCCGCGGUGCCUGUGUCCCUGUCUCUGUUCCUCUGGCCGGGUGCUGCUUCAGGGAUCCCCCAGUUGGCAAGGGUGAUCAUCUGGGUCCAAAACUCCAGCUGCUUGUACAUGAAAGACCUUCAGCAGUUCUUCUGAUACUCUCUUUCUGGGUCUCUUCAUUCUUCAUCAUUAAAGGGCUGCUAAUGGAUUAAGGACAGUGGGUGGCUCUGCAGAAGCUACAUGGAAACAGGAAAGUACAGUAAACUUCGAACCACACACAAAAUGUAUUUGGAUACAGUCAGGUUUGAAAUUAAAGUACUGUCUGUCCUCC